CCUACGGGAGACAGCAGUGAGGAAUAUUGGUCAAUGGACGAGAGUCUGAACCAGCCAAGUAGCGUGAAGGAUGACUGCCCUAUGGGUUGUAAACUUCUUUUAUAUGGGAAUAAAAUGUUCCACGUGUGGGAUUUUGUAUGUACCAUAUGAAUAAGGAUCGGCUAACUCCGUGCCAGCAGCCGCGGUAAUACGGAGGAUCCGAGCGUUAUCCGGAUUUAUUGGGUUUAAAGGGAGCGUAGGUGGAUUGUUAAGUCAGUUGUGAAAGUUUGCGGCUCAACCGUAAAAUUGCAGUUGAAACUGGCAGUCUUGAGUACAGUAGAGGUGGGCGGAAUUAGUGGUGUAGCGGUGAAAUGCUUAGAGAUCACGAAGAACUCCGAUUGCGAAGGCAGUUCACUGGACUGCAACUGACACUGAGGCUCGAAAGUGUGGGUAUCAAACAGGAUUAGAUACCCGAGUAGUC
rnacentral:rRNA from 1 species